rnacentral:miRNA from 1 species
UUUGCGAUAACAUUCAAGACCAA